GGUGUAGGUGGCUAUGUAAGUCAGGUGUGAAAGCCUGGGGCUCAACCCCAGAAGUGCAUCUGAUACUGCGUAGCUUGAGUGGUAGAGAGGAUAGUAGAAUUCUUGGUGUAGUGGUGAAAUACGUAGAUAUCAAGAGGAAUACCGGUGGCGAAGGCGGCUAUCUGGCUACACACUGACACUCAGACCCGAAAGCGUGGGGAUCAAACA
rnacentral:rRNA from 1 species